UUCGGUUCCUCCACGGCGGCGCGUCAAUUACGGACCUCGCGGCAGAGAGCAUCUCCGAGCGCUGGCCCUCACGUGACGUCGUCGUUUGUGAUCCUUGACAUGGAGGCCAUAUAUGGCUGGGAGCACUGACACUGCAGUAAAGGUCCGCAAAGCCCAAGACAAAGACAGGCCGGCCUGUCCGUUGACGUCACGGGUUGGUCACGUCCGGAACGAACGGGUCGGGCUAAGUCAGCAGUUCCUGCCUGAAGCCGCACAGUAGAACCCUAUGAAACGUACCUGUGCCUGACUCUUCCCCCAGAGAUCCUUCUUGAAUGCAUGUGAGCAGAGGGCCGAACAGCACUGACUUUUUAAAACUUUUUAUUAACGUAUCAUACACACAAAAAGCGCACAUAGGUGCACAGCUCCACCGAACUUUGCAAACAGAGGACACUCAGCAUCUGCAUCGAAGGGAGGAUCUUAGCAGCCCUCCCCCACUUUUGCCCCCGUCUCUACACUACCACCCACCUCCUCCUGCCAAGGAGGGGUGACCACUCCCCUGACCUCUAACAGUAAAGGUUGUUUUGAAUGUC